UUUGUCGUUUCAGUUGUGCCAGUUGUAUUUAAAUUUAAGUCAAAAAUCCAAAGUCAAAUUGUGUCGCUAUGGUGACUGAUAUUGCCUUCCUAGAAAGCAACGGGAGUAGUAAACGUUUGUGAAAGUAGAUGUCAACUCCAUAAUCUUAAACAUAAACCUUAAACAAUGCAAUUUGUACCAAAUUCUCAUUAAAUUAAGCAAAAAAACAAUAAUUAUAAUAUAUUUCAGUGUCAUUUCGCAACGAGUCUGCUUGCUUUCAGGGUCAUCAAUCUCCUUAAAUAGGAUCGCUAGAUUCGCUACAAAUAAGUUCAUACUGAAGGCUUCAUCAAGUUCUUGUUCCUGCAAUUUACAAAGAUGAGCAGUUUUCUAGCAAAGUUGGUUUUAGUUGUUGCAGCAUUGUAUCUUCUUCUCGGUGUUUUUCCUGCAACUUCUUCAUCACUUCCUCAUGGCAACGAGAAGAAUACUUUAUCGCAGGUUGACUGUGGAGAUGGCUCGACGACGAUGAUUAGAAGAAAAGAAGGGAAGUUUGGUUGCCAAAGUGAGAUUGUUAGCAAGAAAACUGUGCCCGUCCGGCGCAGCCUAAGAUUAAUCCUUAAGUCGUCGCCGCCUUCACCCAUUAAAAACCCAACCAAGUCACAGGCAGGCUCUGCACCUCCUCCACUUCUUAUAUGAUGAUGGCUAUAUAUGUUUUAUAGUCAGUGUUCUUAAAAGCACCGGUUAGGCAGUUGGGCAACGUCACGGUAAUGUAUAAGCAUUUAAAAAAUAAGAAAUGACGUCUAGACCUACUUUAGGCAUCCGUCUAGAGCUUAGGUCAUGAUUCAUACUUAGACAUAAAUUUUAUCUUUCAUUUUGUAUUUUAUUUUCUAAUAAAUUGUAAGAGACUUUUAUGAUAGCUAGUUGGAUUAACACUCA